UACGUAGGGGGCUAGCGUUGUCCGGAUUUAUUGGGCGUAAAGAGCGUGUAGGCGGCCAGGUAGGUCCGGUGUGAAAACUCGAGGCUUAACCUCGAGAUGUCAUCGGAAACCAUCUGGCUAGAGUCCUGAAGAGGAAAGUGGAAUUCCUGGUGUAGCGGUGAAAUGCGCAGAUAUCAGGAAGAACACCAAUGGCGAAAGCAGCUUUCUGGGACGGUACUGACGCUGAGACGCGAAAGCGUGGGGAGCGAACAGG
rnacentral:rRNA from 1 species